GCUUGGUCUCUAUUUUUUAAGAAGGAGAACUGUUCUAGUCUGUGUUUAGUCAAUAGCAAUGCAAAAACAGAUAACAACAUUUUCCAACGUGCGAAGAGAACAAUGCCCUCCAUCUAGCAAGGAUAUUGGCAGUUUCCAUCACUCCCUAAAUUUCCUGCCUACAACUGUGACACCGUUAACCCAUUUCUCUUAAUUCUGUUUCUUUCAUUUCUCCUCUCCCCCCACUUCCUGAGCUCUAGACCUGAUGCAUAGUUACAGGAGCAAAGUAGAGAAAAACACUUUUUACAUGCAAUACCAAGUAGAAAGAAAAGAACUUUAGUAUGGAAACUGACUGCAAAUAUUUUCUUCUUUGCAUUUUGUUAAAAUAGGUCCCUAAGAAUUUUUAUUAAUACCAUCUUUGAUUUCAGGGAGAAUUUUACCAAGAAGCCAAGUUCCAAAUCAGAUGGAUUCUAAUCUGUCCUCCUUUUCUAGGACUAUGUGACAUCAAAUCCUUCUAAUAUUAUCUGCAGCUGACUUCAAGAUGUCUCUACUUUUUAUACAAAGCCUUGGACAUGAAUGGAAAUGAGGUGACCUAUAAUUUAAAGAGAAGUUUGAGUAGCUGCUUCUUAAGAAGACAAAUCAAAAAGGAAGAUUUAAGUGUAAUCAAGAUUAUGAUGCUUAUCAAAAUUUUUUUUAAUUUUUAAAAAUUUCUACGUGCAUUAAUAAAAAGAAUAUCAUGCUUCUUAUUCAUGAAGAUGAUGAAACACUGGCGUUGAUUAUCAAAAGAGAAAUACUGUCAAACCAUCCCUCAGAGUUAUAUUCUUUUAAUUAGAAAAAAAUUUAAUAAAAAAGACAUUUUUGGACUUAA